AGCAAGUACAUAAGUAGGAAGGCACAAGUGGUCUGUAACGUUAGGGGUUAGGAAGUUAUGUAGCCUUUCAGCAAGCCUCUAUGUGGGCUUUCUUGUACACUGCUACCAUCCCCCACAUCCUACUCUUAGUCCCAGCCUGAGCCUUCACCGCUGCUGUAACACCUGACUACUGCCUGGCUGGAUGUUGAGUCAAGGACCUCAGUCAAUGUUAACUAAUUCAAGAACAUGCAGUGGGUGAGAAUGACUCCUACUCCACAGCAGUCACCUCAGCACAGCACAUUAUAUGUGAAGUUAACUAAUCAAAAACAUUAAACGAAGAGGUAUCUUAAA